rnacentral:rRNA from 1 species
UACAGAGGUGGCAAGCGUUGUUCGGAAUUACUGGGCGUAAAGGGCGCGUAGGCGGCCUUCUAAGUCAGACGUGAAAUCCCCCGGCUUAACCUGGGAACUGCGUCUGAUACUGGGAGGCUAGAGUAUGGGAGAGGGAUGUAGAAUUCCAGGUGUAGCGGUGAAAUGCGUAGAUAUCGGAAGGAACACCGGUGGCGAAAGCGGCGCGCUGGACCUCUUCUGACGCUGAGGCGCGAAAGCCAGGGGAGCAAACGGG